rnacentral:rRNA from 1 species
UACGAAGGGGGCUAGCGUUGCUCGGAUUGACUGGGCGUAAAGGGCGCGUAGGCGGCGGACACAGUCAGACGUGAAAUUCCUGGGCUCAACCUGGGGGCUGCGUUUGAUACAUGUCUGCUUGAGUUCGGAAGAGGGUCGUGGAAUUCCCAGUGUAGAGGUGAAAUUCGUAGAUAUUGGGAAGAACACCGGUGGCGAAGGCGGCGACCUGGUCCGAUACUGACGCUGAGGAGCGAAAGCGUGAGGAGCGAACAGG